GAAAUUUCCAGUUUAUGUGUUGUUCCUUGUGUAAGAGCAUGGACUUACUGCAAAUCCUGCCCUUAGGGCAAAUUCCUACCUAUUCCUGCGGAAGCAUGUGUAUCAUUCCCCUAUGGUUUAUAACCCCUGAGUCUGGGGGUAAUGGCACGGGGACCCACCAGCUUGUCUGCCGCCAUCUGGGGCUGGAGUGCAAUGGCAUGAUCUCAGCUCACUGCAACCUCUGCCUCCCGGGUUCAAGCAAUUCUCCUGUCUCAGCCUCCUGAGUAGCUGGAUUACAGAGAAACACAGAGGAGAGACCCAGAGAGAAGGAGAAGGCCGCAUGAAGAUGGAGCAGAGACUGGAGUUAUUCAGCCAAGUCAAGGAAUGCCUGGAGCACCAGAAGCCGGAAGAGGCAAGGAAGGAUCCUCCCUUAGAGCAUUUGGAAGAGUGUGGCCCUGCCAACACCUUGACUUCAAACUUCUGGCCUCCAUAACUAUGAAAUAAAUUCUUGUUGUUUUAAGCCACCAA
rnacentral:lncRNA from 1 species